GGAUGAGAUGGCGGAAACUCUGAUGCAGCGACGCCGCGUGAAUGAUGAAGGCCUUCGGGUUGUAAAGUUCUGUCCUUGGGGAAGAUAAUGACGGUACCCAAGGAGGAAGCCCCGGCUAACUACGUGCCAGCAGCCGCGGUAAUACGUAGGGGGCGAGCGUUGUCCGGAAUUAUUGGGCGUAAAGGGUUCGCAGGCGGUCUGAUAAGUCAGAUGUGAAAGGCGUAGGCUCAACCUACGUAAGCAUUUGAAA
rnacentral:rRNA from 1 species